rnacentral:tRNA from 1 species
GCCUCUGUAGCUCAGUGGUAGAGCGCCUCCUUGGUAAGGAUGAGGUCGCGGGUCCGAUUCCCGCCAGAGGCU